AUUGAACGCUGGCGGCAUGAUUUACACAUGCAAGUCGAACGGUAACAGGCCGCAAGGUGCUGACGAGUGGCGAACGGGUGAGUAAUGCAUCGGAACGUGCCCAGGCGUGGGGGAUAACUACUCGAAAGAGUAGCUAAUACCGCAUACGAUCUAUGGAUGAAAGCGGGGGACCGUAAGGCCCCGCGCGAUUUGAGCGGCCGAUGUCGGAUUAGCUAGUUGGGGGGGUAAAGGCACACCAAGCCAACGAUCUGUAGCCGGUCUGAGAGGAGGACCAGCCACACUGGAACUGAGACACGGUCCAGACUCCUACGGGAGGAAGCAGUGGGGAAUAUGGGACAAAGGGCGAAAGCCGGAUCCAGCAAUGCCGCGUGUGUGAAGAAGGUCUUCGGAUUGUAAAGCACUUUAAGUUGGGAGGAAGAGCAGGAAGUUAAUAACUUGCUGUUUGGACGGUACCAACAGAAUAAGCAACGGAGAACUUCGGG
rnacentral:rRNA from 1 species